UACGUAGGGGGCAAGCGUUGUCCGGAUUUAUUGGGCGUAAAGAGCUCGUAGGUGGUUUGGUAAGUCGGAUGUGAAAUCUCCAGGCUCAACCUGGAGGGGUCAUUCGAUACUGCCAUGACUAGAGGUCGGUAGGGGAGUGUGGAAUUCCUGGUGGAGCGGUGAAAUGCGCAGAUAUCAGGAGGAACACCCAUUGCGAAGGCAGCUCGCUGGGACGUUACUGACGCUGAGACGCGAAAGCGUGGGGAGCAAACAGG
rnacentral:rRNA from 1 species